ACUCCUACGGGAGGCAGCAGUGGGGAAUAUUGCACAAUGGGGGAAACCCUGAUGCAGCCAUGCCGCGUGUGUGAAGAAGGCCUUCGGGUUGUAAAGCACUUUCAGUAGGGAGGAAGGUAGUGUAGUUAACACCUGCAUUAUUUGACGUUAGCAACAGAAGAAGCACCGGCUAACUCCGUGCCAGCAGCCGCGGUAAUACGGAGGGUGCGAGCGUUAAUCGGAAUUACUGGGCGUAAAGCGCAUGCAGGCGGCCUGUUAAGUCAGAUGUGAAAGCCCGGGGCUUAACCUCGGAAUUGCAUUUGAAACUGGCAGGCUAGAGUCUUGUAGAGGGGGGUAGGAAUUUCAGGUGUAGCGGUGAAAUGCGUAGAGAUCUGAAGGAAUACCAGUGGCGAAGGCGGCCCCCUGGACAAAGACUGACGCUCAGAUGCGAAAGCGUGGGGAGCAAACAGGAUUAGAUACCCUGGUAGCACAGAG
rnacentral:rRNA from 1 species